AGCACUCAUAUUUGAUUUUGUUAAAUUUGUGGGCAAAGCCUUUGAUGCAAAGAAUAAAUCCUCUUUUGCAACCUAGAACUCCGUGUUCAGUAUGUGUUUUGAUACAGAUAAGAAGGAACAUG